UCGGGAAUAUUGCGCAAUGGAGGAAACUCUGACGCAGUGACGCCGCGUGCAGGAAGAAGGUUUUCGGAUUGUAAACUGCUUUAGACAGGGAAGAAAAAGGACAGUACCUGUAGAAUAAGCUCCGGCUAACUACGUGCCAGCAGCCGCGGUAAUACGUAGGGAGCAAGCGUUAUCCGGAUUUAUUGGGUGUAAAGGGUGCGUAGACGGGAAAUUAAGUUAGUUGUGAAAUCCCUCGGCUCAACUGAGGAACUGCAACUAAAACUGAUUUUCUUGAGUGCUGGAGAGGAAAGUGGAAUUCCUAGUGUAGCGGUGAAAUGCGUAGAUAUUAGGAGGAACACCAGUGGCGAAGGCGACUUUCUGGACAGUAACUGACGUUGAGGCACGAAAGUGUGGGGAGCAAACA
rnacentral:rRNA from 1 species